GAUGAAGAACGUAGCGAAAUGCGAUACUUGGUGUGAAUUGCAGAAUCCCGUGAACCAUCGAGUCUUUGAACGCAAGUUGCGCCCGAAGCCAUUAGGCCGAGGGCACGCCUGCCUGGGCGUCACACGUCGUUGCCCCCCCAUCUACUCCUUCGGGAUUGCGGGGGGCGGAUGAUGGCCUCCCGUGCGCCUCGCCGCGCGGUUGGCAUAAAUGCCAAGUCCUCGGCGACGCACGCCACGACAAUCGGUGGUUGCGAAACCUCGGUUGCCCGUCGUGUGCGGUCGUCGCGCAUCGAGGGCUCGAAAAAAUUGCCAGGUUCCGGCUCGGCUUUCAACGCGACCCCAGGUCAGGCGGGGUUACCCGCUGAAUUUAAGCAUAUCAAUAAGCGGAGGA
rnacentral:misc_RNA from 1 species